AUCAGGAAGGCACGGUCGUACAUUCGUGUCUUCACGCAGUCGCCUCACUUUACUAACGUCGAGACCAGGGCAGAAACAGCAACUUGCGAUAUCGGAUAAGAUGUCAAUUUGGCGUCAAAUUUGUUUGGUGGUGCGGUCAGAAUAGUCAUUUGUUCCUUUAGGGUGUUUUUUCAACCUUUGGACGUUACGCCUUCGAUCCCACCAAUAAUAACAGUAGAAGAGUAUCGUCACUCAUCUGUUAGUGUUAGACCCAAAUCGUGAACAACAACUUGAAGGGCCAUUACCAGUGUCCGCGGCAACAACUUUAGGAACACAGUCAGUGACACACAAGUCAGCACAAAAUGGAGAGGAACCACCAAGUUAUUGUUCAGGAACCCAGGGGUCUGAAGGUGAAGGUCAACCUAUGCAGAACCGAGGAGCAGUUUAAGAACAUGACAGUGCGACAGCUGAAGGAAAAAAUAUGGGAGAAAUUUCCGGACUUUGGAGGAGAGAAGCAUCUGUGGCUGAUUUUCGUAGAUAAGAUGCUGAAUGACGAUGAUGCCCUUCUGUCUGACUAUGGAAUCCAGCACAUGUCUGUCAUCCACAUGUUAAUGAAGCUUCCUGGAGGAGGUGGACCUAUUGAUGAAAACAGUGGGAUGGGGGACAAGACUGGCAAAAAUCGAAGUAUGGAAUCUCUGAAGUUAUCAUUUUAAUAACACAACUAGAUGCUGCGCAGGUCCAACUGUAAUAAACUUUUAUUCAACUUCCAAAUCACAAACUUCUGUUUUACUUUUUUACAAUUAUUUAUGUGCCUGUUCUUGAAGUGGCAGGUAAAGUUUGCUCAUCAUAUAUAGGAAGAUCUCUGUUGAAAGAAGGCUUUCUAUGAUGUUGAGGGUAUGGAUGUUUUGAAAAUCCAAUUUUUGUGAUUUUGUUUGUUGUUUGCUUUUUGCUUCUUUGCCACAAAAACUAGUUAAACUUCCUCUCUUGAAGCUUAAAACAAGUUCACCACAUGUGCACCAUUUUAAUUUAUAGCAAGAAUAAAUUGUGUAUUCCUCUAUAUUUUGUAUAACGUGUGUCUUACAUUUUUGCAAACAACUGCAAUAGAAACACACCUGAUUGUACAGGUGACGUGUGAAUUCUUGCAAAUGUGAUAGAGAUAGAAAGUGAAACUUGGUGUCAGUGGACCUGAAAAAGUCACUCAACACAUAUUAAUGGUUGAACUUGUCAGAUAUUUUCAGCCUGACUCACAGGAUCAGAGACAAUUGUGCUGUUAGGGUUUGUUUGGUGUGUAUUUGUUUCCAGGAACAACAAGUUCUUUCAAAGCAUUUAUAACAUGUUCUUUGUUUGCUCAGGCUGAUGUGAAGUGAAAUUAUUUGAAAAGCUAAACUGUCAAAGGCAAAAGUAAAAAAAAAAAUCUUACAAAAUGUAAUGUAUCUGUUCUAUGAACCUAUAAAGUCUGUCUCUUCUCCAUACA